UUAAGCUGUUUGUCCAACAGAUUCUGCAAAUACAUGUUGUGAAUGGGAGAAGUUGUCAUGGCAGCAGUAAAGGAGUAAGAAAAAGAAGUAAAGUGUUUACAUGGAACUACUCCAGUCAGACAUCAACAUCACUCCGUUUUCUCUGAAGUAGUCCUGCACAGAUUCCUAUCAACCAGUAACAAAGGGGACUGAAUUAGCCAGGGCCCUCUCUGUCCAGGAGCAGCAUAGCAGCCAAAUGGUCUGUCUCUAUGUUAAAAACAGAGGUAGAAGACUGCAUUACAUGACUGGACAUAAAGAAAACACCAAGCCAGAAGAAAUAAAACAUAAUUUCAUAAUUCUGUGAUUCAUAAAAUGAUCUGGUAUCAUAUGGAAUGUUCUCACCUUUAAGG